UCGGACAGCGACUUCAAAGUCAUUUGUAGAAGGCUAAACAUUUGGACGACGGAUACACUGGAUAAGGUAGAUGGUCCAGCCUUAUCUGGGAAUGACACGACGGGUGUUGAACACAGAAAACGUGCCAUGUACAAGAAACAAUUGGAGUUUAUGAAAGCUUCAAGGAAUUAA
rnacentral:lncRNA from 1 species